AGCUCCUAGACUUCUCGGAUUUGUUCCCACAGAACCUCCGACGACCGUCCGGACUUCCAUCGAACUCUCGAACUCCCAACGUGAUCAUAGUCUUGACUCCGGCGCAACUCCUGCUGCAUGUCUUACUUUCAUCGUAGUUAAUCCUGCACACUUAUCUCAAUAUAUGGAUUAGAUAACAAAUGACAAUUAACUUCAUCAUCAAAAUCCG
rnacentral:lncRNA from 1 species